rnacentral:rRNA from 1 species
UAAGAAGUUCGGGCUAAUUUCGUGCCAGCAGCCGCGGUAAUACGAAGGGACCUAGCGUAGUUCGGAAUUACUGGGCUUAAAGAGUUCGUAGGUGGUGAAAAAGUUGGUGGUGAAAUCCCAGAGCUUAACUCUGAAACUGCCAUCAAAACUUUUCAGCUAGAGUAUGAUAGAGGAAAGCAGAAUUUCUAGUGUAGAGGUGAAAUUCGUAGAUAUUAGAAAGAAUACCAAUUGCGAAGGCAGCUUUCUGGAUCAUUACUGACACUGAGGAACGAAAGCAUGGGUAGCGAAGAGGAUUAGAUACCCUCGUAGUCCAUGCCGUAAACGAUGUGUGUUAGACGUUGGAAAUUUAUUUUCAGUGUCGCAGGGAAACCGAUAAACACACCGCCUGGGGAGUACGACCGCAAGGUUAAAACUCAAAUGAAUUGACGGGGACCCGCACAAGUAGUGGAGCAUGUGGUUUAAUUCGAAGAUACGCGCAGAACCUUACCAACACUUGACAUGUUCGUCGCGACUCUAAGAGAUUAGAGUUUUCGGUUCGGCCGGACGAAACACAGGUGCUGCAUGGCUGUCGUCAGCUCGUGUCGUGAGAUGUUGGGUUAAGUCCCGCAACGAGCGCAACCCUCACUUUUAGUUGCCAUCAUUAAGUUGGGCACUCUGAAAGAACUGCCAGUGAUAAGCUGGAGGAAGGUGGGGAUGACGUCAAGUCCUCAUGGCCCUUACGUGUUGGGCUACACACGUGCUACAAUGGCAUCUACAACAGGAAGCAAAACGGCAACGUUAAGCAAAUCCCGAAAAGAUGCCUCAGUUCGGAUUGCACUCUGCAACUCGAGUGCAUGAAGCUGGAAUUACUAGUAAUCGUGGAUCAGCGUGCCACGGUGAAUGCGUUCCCGGGUCUUGUACACACCGCCCGUCACACCAUGGGAGUUGGUUCUACCUUAAGGCAAGGUUUUAAACCCUGA